GACGAACGCUGGCGGCGUGCUUAACACAUGCAAGUCGAGCGAUGAAGCACCUUCGGGUGUGAAUUAGCGGCGAACGGGUGAGGAACACGUGAGAAAUCUGCCUUCAACACUGGGAUAACUCCGGGAAACCGGGGCUAAUACCGGAUAUGAAACCUGCGGGCAUCCGCGGGUUUGGAAAGUUUUUCGGUUGAAGAUGAUCUCGCGGCCUAUUAGCUUGUUGGUGAGGUAAUGGCUCACCAAGGCGACGACGGGUAGCCGGCCUGAGAGGGCGACCGGCCACCAUGGGACUGAUAAACGGCCGAGACUCCUCCGGGAGGCGGCAGUGGGGAAUAUUGGGCAAGGGAGGAAACUCUGCCCCAGCGACGCCGCGUGCGAGAUGAAGGCCUUCGGGUUGUAAACCGCUUUCGACAGGGAAGAAGCGAAAGUGACGGUACCUGCAGAAGAAGCACCGGCUAACUAUGUGCCAGCAGCCGCCGUAA
rnacentral:rRNA from 1 species